GAUGAACGCUGACAGAAUGCUUAACACAUGCAAGUCAACUUGAACUUCGGUUUGGGUGGCGGACGGGUGAGUAACGCGUAAAGAACUUGCCUCACAGAUAGGGACAACAUUUGGAAACGAACGCUAAUACCUGAUAUUAUGAUUAUAUGGCAUCGUAUAAUUAUGAAAGCUAUAUGCGCUGUGAGAGAGCUUUGCGUCCCAUUAGCUAGUUGGAGAGGUAACGGCUCACCAAGGCGAUGAUGGGUAGCCGGCCUGAGAGGGUGAUCGGCCACAAGGGGACUGAGACACGGCCCUUACUCCUACGGGAGGCAGCAGUGGGGAAUAUUGGACAAUGGACCAAGAGUCUGAUCCAGCAAUUCUGUGUGCACGAUGAAGUUUUUCGGAAUGUAAAGUGCUUUCAGUUGGGAAGAAAAAAAUGACGGUACCAACAGAAGAAGUGACGGCUAAAUACGUG
rnacentral:rRNA from 1 species